GACGGUGAGUCAUCGAAUCUUUGAACGCACAUUGCGCCCGCCAGUAUUCUGGCGGGCAUGCCUGUCCGAGCGUCAUUUCAACCCUCAAGCCCCCGGGCUUGGUGUUGGAGAUCGGCGAGCCCCCCGGGGCGCGCCGUCUCCCAAAUAUAGUGGCGGUCCCGCUGUAGCUUCCUCUGCGUAGUAGCACACCUCGCACUGGGAAACAGCGUGGCCACGCCGUAAAACCCCCCACUUCUGAAAGGUUGACCUCGGAUCAGGUAGGAAUACCCGCUGAACUUAAGCAUAUCAAUAAGCGGAGGA
rnacentral:misc_RNA from 1 species